AGCUCCAAUAGCGUAUAUUCAAGUUGUUGCAGUUAAAAAGCUCGUAGUUGAAUUUUGGGUCUGGUCAACCGGUUUAGCCGCAAGGCUAACACUGGUUUGGUCGGAUCUUUCCUUGUAGGGAACUAGUGUGCCCUUCACUGGGUGCAUUAGGGAUCUAUGACUGUUACUUUGAAAAAAUUAGAGUGUUUAAAACAGGCGUUUGCUUGAAUACAUUAGCAUGGAAUAACGGAAUAGGACUUUGUUUCUAUUUUGUUGGUUUUUAGGAACGAAGUAAUGAUUAAUAGGGAUAGUUGGGGGCAUUAGUAUUCCAUUGUCAGAGGUGAAAUUCUUGGAUUUAUGAAAGACUAACUUCUGCGAAAGCAUUUGCCAAGGAUGUUUUCA
rnacentral:rRNA from 1 species